rnacentral:rRNA from 1 species
GACGUAGGUGGCGAACGUUAUCCGGAAUUAUUGGGCGUAAAGGGUGCGUAGGCGGCAUGAUAAGUUAUUGGCGGUAAAUCGAGGCUCAACCUCGUGGAAACUGAUAAUACUGUUUUGCUUGAGUACAGGAGAGGUUAACGGAACUCCAUGUGGAGCGGUAAAAUGUGUAGAUAUAUGGAAGAACAUCAAUAACGGCGAAGGCAGUUAACUAUUCUGUUACUGACGUUGAGGCACGAAAGCGUGGGGAGCAAAAAGG